ACAAGACCAGCAGCACUGUUGUCUCCUAGGGCACUCCAGUACCCUUCGUCUUCUCCCAAAUCACUCCAGUACUCUGAGAAACUAUAGCAGAAAAAUACAGAGCCUCCAAAGUAAAUAAAAAGACCAGAACCCCUGGGAGAAAUGAGCCUCAUUGGAGCAGCCAGAUUCAUAAGACCACGGCUGACCACAGGUAACUGGAAAACCAUGAAUAAGAGGGAACUCCGUGUGCUAAAUGGAGCUGAGCCACAAGAAGGUGACCCAGAGUGUCUGGCUUCCUUCCACACCUCAAGAGUGUACAUUGCCUGGCACAAUCCAACGCUGGACCACUAGCUCCAAGAUUAGUGAAGCCAGCAGUCACGUGAGCUACAAUUCUGAAAUGAAGUGAUGCAUAACAAAAGGUUGAUUACCUGACCGAGGUGAUAAGUUGUAUUAACCAAAAUUUUUAACUGGUUUACUAUGCUUCACACAGGAGUUGUGUGGUUUGAAAAAGGACAUGUAAUAAAUUCCUUAUUUUUAAAAUAAAGGUGGGACAAAAUCUUUACUGGCAGUAAAUGG